rnacentral:rRNA from 1 species
GAUGAACGCUGGCGGCGUGCCUAAUACAUGCGAGUCGAGCGAACAGACGAGGAGCUUGCUCCUCUGACGUUAGCGGCGGACGGGUGAGUAACACGUGGAUAACCUACCUAUAAGACUGGGAUAACUUCGGGAAACCGGAGCUAAUACCGGAUAAUAUAUUGAACCGCAUGGUUCAAUAGUGAAAGACGGUUUUGCUGUCACUUAUAGAUGGAUCCGCGCCGCAUUAGCUAGUUGGUAAGGUAACGGCUUACCAAGGCAACGAUGCGUAGCCGACCUGAGAGGGUGAUAGGCCACACUGGAACUGAGACACGGUCCAGACUCCUACGGGAGGCAGCAGUAGGGAAUCUUCCGCAAUGGGCGAAAGCCUGACGGAGCAACGCCGCGUGAGUGAUGAAGGUCUUCGGAUCGUAAAACUCUGUUAUUAGGGAAGAACAAAUGUGUAAGUAACUAUGCACGUCGUGACGGUACCUAAUCAGAAAGCCACGGCUAACUACGUG